AGACCUGAAGCCCCUCGAUCUAUGCCUGGCCAGAUUGAAGCCCGUUGAAAGAUGGGUGGAGGAUCGCACCGUUGCUGAUCUGCAAAUCGCUCGGACGAGCUGGGUAUAGGGGUG
rnacentral:rRNA from 1 species